AAUCAACGCUGGCGGCGUGCCUAACACAUGCAAGUCGAACGAGAAGGUGACUUCGGUCACUGGAUAGUGGCGUCCGGGUGAGUAACACGUAGGUAAUCUACCUUCGGGUGGGGAUAACGUCUCGAAAGAGACGCUAAUACCGCAUAAUGCAGCGGCACCUAAUGGUGAUUAGUUGUUAAAGCGGGGGAGUCUUCGGACCUCGCGCCUGAAGAGGAGCCUGCGGCAGAUUAGCUAGUUGGUGAGGUAAUGGCUCACCAAGGCUUCGAUCUGUAGCUGGUCUGAGAGGACGGCCAGCCACACUGGCACUGACACACGGGCCAGACUCCUACGGGAGGCAGCAGUGGGGAAUUUUGGCAAUGGCGAAAGCCUGACCCAGCAACGCCGCGUGAAGGAGGAAAUCCUUCGGGAU
rnacentral:rRNA from 1 species